rnacentral:rRNA from 1 species
GAUAAACGCUGGCGGCGUGCCUAAUGCAUGCAAGUCGCACGGAGUCAUCCUUCGGGGUGAUUGAGUGGCGAACGGGUGAGCAACACGUGGACAACCUACCCCGGCGUGGGGGAUACCCGCCAGAAAUGGCGGCUAAUACCGCGUACGGUUCUGCGGCGAGGGGCUGUGGAAAGAAAGCCGCAAGGCGCGCUGGGAGGGGUCUGCGACCGAUUAGCUUGUUGGCGGGGUAACGGCCCACCAAGGCGAUGAUCGGUAGCUGGUCUGAGAGGAUGAUCAG